rnacentral:rRNA from 1 species
CGGACGGGUGAGUAACACGUGGAUAACCUACCUAUAAGACUGGGAUAACUUCGGGAAACCGGGGCUAAUACCGGAUGAUAUUUUGAACCGCAUGGUUCAAAAGUGAAAGACGGUCUUGCUGUCACUUAUAGAUGGAUCCGCGCUGCAUUAGCUAGUUGGUAAGGUAACGGCUUACCAAGGCAACGAUGCAUAGCCGACCUGAGAGGGUGAUCGGCCACACUGGAACUGAGACACGGUCCAG